AGUUGCCGGUCUAGGCCGGUUGACAUUCUUCAACCCUUUGUGAACCAAAAAACUUUAGCUUCGGUAGCAGGCCGGUGACCUUUCAUUAGGUGCCGCGCCGUCAGCCUGCCGGUAGCACCCAACCAAACUGUUAUUUAAACUAUGUCUGAAUUGAAUCAUUUUCGAAUGAAAUUAAAACUUUCAACAACGGAUCUCUUGGUUCUCGCAUCGAUGAAGAACGCAGCGAAACGCGAUAGUUAAUGUGAAUUGCAGAAUUCAGUGAAUCAUCGAAUCUUUGAACGCACAUUGCGCCCCUUGGUAUUCCGAAGGGCAUGUCUGUUUGAGCGUCAUUUCAACACCCUCGCUUUAGGUUUUGCAACCGAACGGCGGUCUUGAGCUGUGCCUUAACCGGCUGGCUUUAAAGUUGACGUUCUGUGUGGUACUCAUCCUUACCUUCCGUAGUAAUUUACUUUAUGACUGUUCGUUUGGAUUUGGCACGCACCUGAAUAAACAAAUCUUUCUUAGGUUUGACCUCAGAUCAGACAAGGAUACCCGCUGAACUUAAGCAUAUCAAUAAGCGGAAGAAAAGAAACCAACAGGGAUUGCCUCAGUAACGGCGAGUGAAGCGGCAACAGCUCAAAUUUGAAAUCUGGAGUUUUUAGCUUCCGAGUUGUAAUUUGAAGAGGAUGUUACGGUUGUGGCCCUGGCCUAAGUUCCUUGGAACAGGACGUCGUAGAGGGUGAGAAUCCCGUACACGGCUGAUGGCUUACUUCCAUGUGUAACUCCUUCGAAGAGUCGAGUUGUUUGGGAAUGCAGCUCAAAUUGGGAGGUAAAUUUCUUCUAAAGCUAAAUACUGGCGAGAGACCGAUAGCGCACAAGUAGAGUGAUCGAAAGAUGAAAAGCACUUUGAAAAGAGAGUUAAACAGUACGUGAAAUUGUUGAAAGGGAAGCGCUUGCAAUCAGACUUGCUUUCGGUUGAUCAACGUUCCUUUUGGUUCGUGCACUCUGCCGUUCGCAGGCCAGCAUCAGUUUGAGCGGUGGGACAAAAGUUUUGGGAAUGUGGCUCUCUUCGGGGAGUGUUAUAGCCCAAUUCACAAUGCCACCUGCACAGACUGAGGUCCGCGCUUUGCUAGGAUGCUGGCUUAAUGGUUGUAAGCGA
rnacentral:rRNA from 1 species